CAUUUUUAUUGUUAAAAAUUAAUAUGGUUGGUUGAUAGAAUAACCAAAUAAUUACACGUGACGUGCCAUGUGUACCUCAUUCUGACAUAUAUAAACCAAUUUUUAACAAUAAAAAUU
rnacentral:pre_miRNA from 1 species